rnacentral:rRNA from 1 species
UACGAAGGGGGCUAGCGUUGCUCGGAAUCACUGGGCGUAAAGGGUGCGUAGGCGGGUCUUUAAGUCAGAGGUGAAAUCCUGGAGCUCAACUCCAGAACUGCCUUUGAUACUGAAGGUCUUGAGUAUGACAGAGGUGAGUGGAACUGCGAGUGUAGAGGUGAAAUUCGUAGAUAUUCGCAAGAACACCAGUGGCGAAGGCGGCUCACUGGGUCAUUACUGACGCUGAGGCACGAAAGCGUGGGGAGCAAACAGG